GCUUGUAUGCCUACUAAAGUAGAUGAUGUCAUGUCUACUGAAAAACCAUCUAAAAAGUCUACUAAAAAAAAGAUGGUUUAGAUUUUCUCAGCUGACUUCGAGUCAAGGCAAUUUUAUAUAAUUAAGUUCAUCUUGACCAAAAUAAAAUCACAGCAUCCAUACUAAAUAGAUAUUAAAACUUGCAAUGUAGAGCAAAACAAAAUGCUAACAUGCUAAAAUUUUAAACCUUCCAAGU
rnacentral:lncRNA from 1 species